rnacentral:rRNA from 1 species
AGGAUGAACGCUGGCGGCGUGCCUAACACAUGCAAGUCGAACGUCCUGUCUCGCAAGAGGCAGGGAGUGGCGGACGGGUGAGUACCACGUGGGUUAUCUACCGUGAGGUGAGGAAUACCGGCGAGAAAUCGCCGACAAGACCGCAUAGCCUCGGUGCAAGCCGAGGAAAGCUUUCUCGAGAGAGGGAGCGCCACACGAGGAGCCUGCGCCCGAUUAGCUAGCUGGUGGAGUAACGGUUCACCAGGGCGACGAUCGGUAGCUGGUCUGAGAGGACGAUCAGCCACACUGGGAUUGAGAACGGCCCAGACUCCUACGGGGGGCAGCAGUGAGGAAUUUUCGUCAAUGGGGGCAACCCUGAACGAGCAACGCCGCGUGCAGGAAGAAGGUUUUCGGAUCGUAAACUGCUUUUCUCGGGGUAAGAGAACGGACGGUACCCAAGGAAUCAGCCCGGCUAACUACGCGCCAGCAGCCGCGGUAA